UGAUAUGAGCUAGAAUUAUGUUGCCCCACCAGCCUGAAAAUGUGAUAAAUAAAAGCCUACAAUGCUCGUUUAUUUGUAUUUACAGGCUUCGUUGUGCAGAUAAUUUACUCUUUGUUCCAUAGGAUCACAUUUGGUAGUGGCGUGACCUGAACCUUGAUGCUUUCUUCUUGCUGCUGCUGCUGUAUUCUGUAAUGGAACUGUUAGAUAAGGUAGUUAGUCUAGCCGUAGGUCUUAGUAGUGCAGAUUCAUUUUAUUUUCUAGGGUGUGCAGAACAAAAUCAGGAGAUGGUAGUAACUGGCAGCUACUUCUGAGUACAAAUUUUGCUUUUCUGGAUUAUCAUAUUCCUUUUGUUUCUCAUAAUGAAGCCGCCGGGCAGUGCUCCAAUAUUGUAUUACUGGGCAGUGUUGGGCAAUGCACGCCGUUGCCACCAGUUGCGCCUUGCGCGGCCGAGGGGCGCCAGCCGUAGGUGCUCGAUGCGGCGCUCCCCUGUCACUCCUUCUGCGACCGCUGUAGGUGUUCCCCGGUCGUUCUUCCUCCUCCAUUGGCAGGAGGGGCUCGGCUGCAGUUCUGCUACAGUUCUGCCGCAGCCAAGAUGAGUGCUCUACGCUUACGGCUCAUGCUAACUGAACUGGUGAUGUUUCUUUCUUCACCUCGAUUGACGCCACAUGUUCCCCCUGGUUGCCGCGUCGUCCUCGUCUUCGGCUUGCAAGGGACUGGAUCUGGUGUGAUUGAUUCUUCCUCUCACAAGGUUAUGAUGGCCGACAAACAGCUCCAAGUUCACGGGUCGCCAGGCUCGCCGAGUGACGCUGGCUCCAAUGGUGGUCUGUGAGCACUUGCCCAGGUCAAUUGAUAUUUGUGGUGGCCCUUCUCUGUUUUUACUUGGAAAAAUUUAGUCCGUAUGUGCCUCAGUGAUUUUUAAAAUCAAAGGAAAUGCUCUGUGCAGAAAAAUACAUAUCUAAUCUAGGGGGUAUAUGUAAUAGCAGUAGAUAAAUAAUAAUGUUUAGAUUCAGGCAGUAUACUACAAUCUGCCUUCUGGAGAGGGGUCUAUGCUUGCUAAGUUCUUUGUACGGUGCCUUCAGGGAGGCUGUGUGGUGCCGACGGCGAGGUCUUCAUAAUGGCAUCAA